rnacentral:lncRNA from 1 species
AGAUGCAAGUAAUAAAGGGGCAGAGGGAGAGGUAGCAGCUGCUGUCCAACAUAGGGCCACACCUCAGAAUGUGACACUAAUCCGGCACUGGGACCAACGGCAGCUCCUCCGCCCUGCCCAUCACAGCCCUGGGAGUCCCACUGUACCUCCAUUGGAACGACAGCCUGUCAGUCCCGCCGGCCUGCAGGGAAGAGUCUGAUGCCCCUCGUGAUGCCCCCGAGCUCUCCCCACUCCCUAGUGGCCUGCUGUUCUUGGUCCCCCUUCCUGAGGGUGCCCCGAGCCUCCAUAAAGCACAGGUUUCUCAGCCCGCGCCACGCCCCCUCUCUGUUUCUUACGGCAGGUCCCACGCCGCUUUGUCCACCUCUGGUCGGACACUGUGACCCAAAACCUUUGUCCAGAACACAACGUAGGCAGGAGAAAAAGAGGCUGCAGCAGAGUAAAUGACCCAGUCACAGAACACGUGGCCAGAUGGCCCCGCAGAGUACUCACUGGCUGAGCGUGGCCGGAGGGUGGUGGCCGGUACAGCAGUGUACCCAGUGCAGCCCACCACAUCCACUCUUGUCUGGCAGCAGAGCUGGGCGGCACUCCCAGGCCCCAGGAACCCGGGCACUUCCUCCUGACACUGGGGUGGCUACAGCUGAAGCUGAGAAGAGCAGCCCCGCCUGCCGCCAUUUCUGAAGGAGCCCAGUGUGGUUACUCAGUGCGCUGUAAUUAAACUCAUCUGUAAUUUGAUAAGUGGGAGUAGCCUCACAUUUUAUAGAGUAAUUAAGUCUCACCAAAGGAGCAGCACGUGGCGCUUCUGGGACCCAGCGUCUCCUGAGGUUGGCCCCAUUCACUCUUCCCGUCUACACAUCUCCACAGCUGCUGAGGCCAGGGUGGGCCGCAGCCACAGCCCCGGAAAUGCUUCACACCCCUGCUCUCUCCACUCUCAGGCCUUCCAUCGACGUCCAGGCCCUUGGGAGACGGCACAGACACUGCAGACGCACGUGCAACAAGACAGGGAAGCCUGGGCCUCCCUUUCCAGGCUGUUAUGCAAAACUGUGGACUAGGAGGAAGCUGGCGGUACUCCUCCCCACCUGCCGGCCGCUCCUUCACCACACACAGGGCCAGGUUCUGACUGUGCUCAGUCCGGCCCAGCUCUGGGCCCCAGUGUGAGACUGAGGCAGCCUGAGGGUAAAGGAAGGGGCUGCGGGUAUAGAAGUCAGAUGGGGCCAGGCGCAGUGGCUCAUGCCUGUAAUCCCAGCACUCUGAGAGGUCGAGGCGGGUGGAUCACCUGAGAUCAGGAGUCGA